CGCUCGGUGGCCUUGUGGUUAGAGCGUCCACCUCUGAUGCGGUAGGUCGUGGGUUCUAUCCCCGGUCGAGUAA